GUCGCGCGCGAAAGUCUUCGGAUGAGUAGAGCGGCGCACGGGUGAGUAACACGUGGGUAAUCUGCCCUUAGGUCUGGGAUAACUCGGCGAAAGCCGUGCUAAUACCGGAUAGUGCCAACAUAUGAAAAUACGUUGGAUAAAGCGGAGGCUUUCUUCGGAAACUUCGUGCCUUUGGAUGAGCCCGCGGCCCAUCAGCUUGUUGGCGGGGUAAUGGCCCACCAAGGCUAAGACGGGUAGCUGGUCUGAGAGGAUGAUCAGCCACACUGGAACUAAGACACGGUCCAGACUCCUACGGGAGGCAGCAGUGGGGAAUCUUGCGCAAUGGGCGAAAGCCUGACGCAGCAACGCCGCGUGUGUGAUG
rnacentral:rRNA from 1 species